rnacentral:rRNA from 1 species
UACGUAGGGGGCAAGCGUUGUCCGGAAUCAUUGGGCGUAAAGAGCGCGUAGGCGGUCCGGUAAGUCCGCUCUGAAAGUCCGGGGCUCAACCCCGGGAGGCGGGCGGAUACUGUCGGGCUUGAGUAUGGGAGAGGUGAGUGGAAUUUCCGGUGUAGCGGUGAAAUGCGUAGAUAUCGGAAGGAACACCUGUGGCGAAAGCGGCUCACUGGACCAUUACUGACGCUGAUGCACGAAAGCUAGGGGAGCAAACAGG